UACAGAGGUCCCAAGCGUUGUUCGGAUUCACUGGGCGUAAAGGGCGCGUAGGCGGUUCGUUAAGUCCUGUGUGAAAUCCCCCGGCUCAACUGGGGAACUGCACAGGAAACUAGCGGGCUUGAGUUCGGGAGAGGGAAGCGGAAUUCCGGGUGUAGCGGUGAAAUGCGUAGAUAUCCGGAGGAACACCGGUGGCGAAGGCGGCUUCCUGGACCGACACUGACGCUGAGGCGCGAAAGCUAGGGGAGCAAACGGG
rnacentral:rRNA from 1 species